AGACUGUCAAUGAGAUUCAGGAAAAUUUGACCAUGCAGCUGAUGGUGAAUGGUGAUGGAGAGAACUGUGUGAUGUCCCAAGGUGCCUACUUUGAAGGGGACUAAGGCUCAUUGUCCUAUGUACAGUAUUUCUUGUAUCUUGUAUCUUCAAUAAAUGUCUCUGUUUUUCAUAGUACAUGGCUAGAUACCUUCUGGAGAGACCUCUAUACCUAAGAUAAGUGAAAACAUCUGUCUACACAAACUUAUAUAAAAAAUUGUGUGUAUAAUGUCCAUAGUAGCAUUAUUCAUAAUAGCCAAAAAGUAGAAAUAACCCAAAUGUGUAUGAACUAAUGAAUGGAUAAAUAGAAUGUGCUGUAUCCAUACAGUGGAAUAUUUGACAACAAAAAUGAAUGAAUACGGAUACCUACUAUAACAUAGAUGAAUCUUACAAAUAUGCUAAAUAAAAGGCAGUCACAAAGGCCAUACACUGUCUGAUUUCAUUUGUAUAUAAUAUCCAGAACAGGCAGUCCAUAGAGACAGAAAAUAGAUUAGUGGUUGCUGGAGCUGAGUGAAGCACAGUGAGGAGAGACUAUGAAUAAGCAUGAGGGUUCUUUUUGGAGGGAUGGAAAUUAUCUACAAUAAGAUAGUGAUGAUGGUUACAUAACUUUAGGUGAUGGUAACAUAUUAAAGACCGCUGAAUUGUAGAGUUUAAAAGGGUGAAUUUUAUGGCAUAUAAAUUAUAUCUCAAAAGUAAUCUUAAAAAUAACUGUGGAAGAAGAAAAUGAAAAAGCUUGUCAGUUCUUUUAAAGUAAUGCACUAAGAUAUUGCUUGGCUAAUAUUGUGUGUGUAUGGGUGAAUUGGGAAGAGAGGAGGAAAGAUACUUGUGUCAUUACUUGUUAAAACAUUUACCAUAAUCUCUUAAGAGAGCAGGCACAUAACACCUACUUUAUUUAAUUGGAAAGCCACAAAGUUUCACUUUACCCCCUCCCCCCAAUAUUCCCAUCAUCCAGAAAGGUCUAACGACGGGGACGGGGGACCAAAAAUAGUGAUAUUUGAGUUUUAUCAUAUCAACUGCAUCUCUGGUUUUCUCCUGCUAACACCUUCCUCAUAUUCAUAGGCUGACUGUGAAAAUCAAAUGAAGUUUUAGGCAGGAGAGGGCUCUUAAAGAAUUAAAAACAUUCUACAAAUGUGAGAUAACAAAUAUAAUAAAACAAUUUUUAAUUUGGUGACUUGUGAUGUCUAUUUAAUUGAUUUGACUGACUUGUAGAGACAAUAAUUGAAUGAAUAGUUUAUUCAUUUAUUUCUGGGUAUUUUUGCCAUCUUAAUAUAAUUUUAAGAAUUGGAAUACUGGAAUGGGGUGAAGGGAGGGAAUAUUAGAUGAGUAGAUUUUUUAUGUAGAAUUUGGUAUCUUGUUAUUGGUAAUCAGGAAACAUUUGAUGAUUUGAGUUUGUCAGGCAAGGAUUUGGAGGAUCAGAAAUUAUUGAGGCUGAAGUUACUUGGAGCCACUGGGGACCUCUUUGUUUAGGUAUAUAAACUGAUUUAUCCUUAGCCUUGGCUUCCAGCUUUAACAGUUUUUCCCCAUAGCUUACUUUGCCUCUGACACUUGCUCUUUCAGUUUUUUAGAUUCAUCAAUUUUAAAUGAACCAUUGUGGAGUUAUAUUCAACUUAAGGCUAGACAGGUUGUAGGUGGUGAGGAUUCCUGAAGGCAGAAUAUACACAAAAUACACUGUGUGUGAGGUAUAUUCAUUCAUUCCAUUUUGGAUUAAAACAGGCUUUUGGGGCUUGGGUAUUUAUAUUUGUUUUCAAAAAUUGGUGGUUGUAUAGUUGUAUAUAAAUAAAUGGUCUUGUUUUCCAGGGAACCAGUUGAGACUUAAGUGUAGGAGCUUAACCUGAGCUCAUUUCUAGGUGAAGAAUGAGAAUGAUGAGUUGCUUAACAUACUUCAGAUAAAUACGCAUCUACUUUCAUGUCAGUUCCUUCCAUUUUUUUACCCUGUCUCUUGGAGCUGUGAUAUAUUUAAGGUCUUUGUGGAUUCACCAAAGGGAUAAUGACCCUGGAAUCUAUUUUAGUGACAGGACCUUUGUAGGUGAUCCAAAUGAUAGAUUCUAAUACAAUGAGGACACUGUGACUUGUGGUCAUGCAUAGCUGCAAAAAGGGGAAACUCCUUUGUAGUUCAAUCAGAUAUGUGUGCUGACUUCUAUGGGGGGAGCUAGUGGGUGCUGCCAGGGCUGCAGACUCCUCUGUACUGCUUAGAUAACAAUUCUCUGUACUCCAUCCUCUUUGAUCUUUCUGAUUCCACAAAAUAGUAUAUCUAACCACGCAUUUGGAUUGGGGGUGGGGGGCAAGAACUGGCAAUACAAAAGAAUGCCAUAUUCUUUCUCAGUCCACCUGAAAUCUUACAUAGUGCUUGUACAAGAGUAGGGCAACUUAACCGGCUUCCAUUUCCAUUUGUAGCAUGCCUGGCAUAUUUUCAUCUUCACAUGUAUCUACUUCUUCACUCAUGCUCCUCCAAAUGCUCUCUUGUUCCUUUCCAUUUAUUUAAAUCCCAUCUAUUUUUAAAAGUCUAACUGAAUUUCUUUCUCAUCUGAGGAACCCGUUUUAACUUUAUUUAACUUUACAAAGAUGUGUGUUUUCCCUUACUGCUUUGUAAGUUCCUUGUAUGUAGGGGUUAUGCAUAAUUUGCAUCUUGGCUGGUAGUUAGCAAGGCCAGGAACAAGAGAGGUUUUGGGACUCUAGUGCAGCUAUCUAACAUCCUGCAGUAGCAUACAAGGGACUAGCCUUUGAAUUUUAAAAGAAACCAGAUAAAUGAUCAAGAAUCCAGGAAUUUAGAAAUACUGGUGACUGUUAGUGUCUCUCACUGGACCCUCCUACUAUGACAGUGAUUUUUAACUUUUUCAUCUCAUGGGAUACAGAAACUAAUUACUUAAAUUCUGUAGCCCACCAAAAAUAUAUUACAUUUUUCCAAUCUGAC